rnacentral:tmRNA from 1 species
GGGGGUGUAAAGGUUUCGACUUACAGGCAAGGAAUUAGCGGCAUGCAGAGGACGUCGGUUGGCCUCUUUAAUCAUUCCGGCAAAAACAUAAACGAUAACUCAGAAGAGAUGUUGUUAGCGGCUUAAGACCUAACAGUUUUAAGUGCUCGGUAAUCUAAGUUUUGACCGAGAGUCUUAGAAAUUACUGUCAUAUAUCUUGGUAUGAAAUUUUCUUAUUCGCUAUUUCUAGGAAAAUUUCGAGAUUUUAAAGGUAGCAAGUCGAUCUAAUGCGGGGAGUCUUUCGAGCUAGAUCGAUGAUAUAUUAAAGGCUCUAAGCAUGUAGUCAUUAAUUUACCAAGUUUGAUAAGGACGAGAGUUCGAUUCUCUCCACCUCCA